AGAUAGCUUGCUAUUUUUAUGAAGAGCGGCGAACGGGUGAGUAACGCGUGGGAAAUCUGCCGAGUAGCGGGGGACAACGUUUGGAAACGAACGCUAAUACCGCAUAACAAUGAGAAUCGCAUGAUUCUUAUUUGAAAGAAGCAAUUGCUUCACUACUUGAUGAUCCCGCGUUGUAUUAGCUAGUUGGUAGUGUAAAGGACUACCAAGGCGAUGAUACAUAGCCGACCUGAGAGGGUGAUCGGCCACACUGGGACUGAGACCCGGCCCACACUCCUACGGGAGGCAGCAGUAGGGAAUCUUCGGCAAUGGGGGCAACCCUGACCGAGCAACGCCGCGUGAGUGAAGAAGGUUUUCGGAUCGUAAAACUCUGUUGUUAGAGAAGAACGUUAAGUAGAGUGGAAAAUUACUUAAGUGACGGUAUCUAACCAGAAAGGGACGGCUAACUACGUGCCAGCACCCGCGGUAAUACGUAGGUCCCAAGCGUUGUCCGGAUUUAUUGGGCGUAAAGCGAGCGCAGGUGGUUUCUUAAGUCUGAUGUAAAAGGCAGUGGCUCAACCAUUGUGUGCAUUGGAAACUGGGAGACUUGAGUGCAGGAGAGGAGAGUGGAAUUCCAUGUGUAGCGGUGAAAUGCGUAGAUAUAUGGAGGAACACCGGAGGCGAAAGCGGCUCUCUGGCCUGUAACUGACACUGAGGCUCGAAAGCGUGGGGAGCAAACAGGAUUAGAUACCCUGGUAGUCCACGCCGUAAACGAUGAGUGCUAGCUGUAGGGAGCUAUAAGUUCUCUGUAGCGCAGCUAACGCAUUAAGCACUCCGCCUGGGGGAGUACGACCGCAAGGUUGAAACUCAAAGGAAUUGACGGGGCCCGCACAAGCGGUGGAGCAUGUGUUUACUACGAAGCAACGCGAAGAA
rnacentral:rRNA from 1 species